GUGAAUCAGCAUGAGGAUGAUUUAAACAGUCAGUACUCCCAGCAGUGAGGAGGAAACAGCAUGAUAUGUUGAGGACAGCUACAGUUCACUGACUCUGUGUGUUUGCAUAUGUGUCCUUCCUCUCUGCUCCCAGCCUUUAAGAGGCCAGUGUUGAUCAGUGGCUGUCCAGGCCUUUCAGAGCCACUGACACGCCGGCAGCACAAUGAUGAUGUCACUGACUCUACUGCUGGCCACCCUGGGGCUCCUUGUUCAGGGUUCAUCAGGACAAAUCACCCUGACUCAGUCUCCUGGAACUCAGUCUGUUGUUCCAGGACAGACUGUCUCUAUCAGAUGUACAGCCAGUUCAUAUGCUAGUAACUACCUCCACUGGUACCUUCAGAAACCUGGAGAAGCUCCUAAACUCCUGAUUAAUUAUGCUUCAACCCGUCAGUCUGGAGUUUCUGAUCGUUUUAGUGGAAGUGGAAGUUCACCUUGGACAGAGUUCAUUCUGACCAUCAGUGGAGUUCAGGCUGAAGAUUCAGGAGUUUACUACUGUCAGCAGAGUUACGACACACCGUUCACACAGUGAUACAACGUCGUACAAAAACCUCCCUCAGCUGGAGAGGAACUGAUCUGACUCAACAGCUGCACUGACACUAAAACAACAGAGGUUUCUCUACAAUGAAAACUCAUGAUUGUAUAAGACAGUAUGAUUUUAAUUGUGAAAAUAUUUAUCAUUCAAUUUAGUACAUCAUUUUAUUAUCACUGAAACAAUGUUUUAUCACACAUCUACAGUUUACUUAAACAGUUUUAGAGCAAAGCUUCAUUCAGAAAAUAAAUAGUUUAAGAAGGAAUUAUGACACAAAAACACAAAAUUUUUUGGUGUGAAAGAAAUUUUUCAUCUCAUAAUUUCUGAAGGUUAAUUCUUGUUUCACUGAAAAUUCUGUGUUAUUAUAGAAUAAUUUGAUUUGUAUAGUGAUAAAUUAUAACAGAAUUUAACUCAAGGCAGACUUUAUAUAGAGAAGUUUAGAGUCUAGGCCGUACUUAACAAAACCUUUAAAUUAACACUAAAAAUGCAGAUUAAUAAAACUGAAGGAUAAAUAAAUCUUUAAUUUGAACAAAUCUUUUAAAUAGUAAUGUGCCUCUUUAACCCAAGACAUUUUGUAUUAUUGAUGAAGCAGACAUACACUCAUUACAACUGUACAUUAAAAUGAAAUCCAUACGUAAGUAUAAAUAAAAUAAUGAAUUACAAAUCUGCUUCAAUGAUGCCGAUAAUGUUCACUUCCUGUUCACACUGUCAUACAGGUGAUAAUUAUAUGUUCUUGCAUUGACGUCAGUGAUGUUGUUGCACUGGAUUACAUUAUAUUCAGGUGUUUCUAAUAUUUUGACCUCCUCAUGUAUUUAAACAGGGAGGACCAAUUAUUACACACAGAGCAACUUUAAAACUUAAAACUUUAACUCAUUUGUCUGUACAGUUGAGCUGUUCAGUAAAAGCAGUAUGUAAAUAUUCCCAGGGUUGAACUUACUGAUCAAAGUCAUUUUAAAUCUCUCUAUGUUGAUGAUAUGCUUUUUUAUAUACUUUUGUGGUUUUAGAGAUUUAAGAAUAAUAUAUAUUCUUUGCAUUGACUCAGUUUUUCACUGGAUGUAAUCCAGUCACUGACACCAUGAAGAGAAAAUCAUUAAGACACUUUGAUAAUAAUAAAGAUGAAAACAAGUGAUUUGAUGAACACGUCUUUAUUAUCUGGAAACAGUGAAAUAAUAUUGAAA